AGGGUACGAGCGUUGUCCGGAAUUAUUGGGCGUAAAGAGCUCGUAGGUGGUUGGUCACGUCUGCUGUGGAAACGCAACGCUUAACGUUGCGCGUGCAGUGGGUACGGGCUGACUAGAGUGCAGUAGGGGAGUCUGGAAUUCCUGGUGUAGCGGUGAAAUGCGCAGAUAUCAGGAGGAACACCGGUGGCGAAGGCGGGACUCUGGGCUGUAACUGACACUGAGGAGCGAAAGCAUGGGGAGCGA
rnacentral:rRNA from 1 species